GUGGAUUAGAUACCCUGGUAGUCCACACCGUAAACGUUGGGCGCUAGGUGUGGGACUCAUUCCACGAGUUCCGUGCCGCAGCUAACGCAUUAAGCGCCCCGCCUGGGGAGUACGGCCGCAAGGCUAAAACUCAAAGGAAUUGACGGGGGCCCGCACAAGCGGCGGAGCAUGCGGAUUAAUUCGAUGCAACGCGAAGAACCUUACCUAGGUUUGACAUAUGCGAGAAUCCCCUGGAGACAGGGGCCUCUUUGGACACUCGUAUACAGGUGGUGCACGGUCGUCGUCAGCU
rnacentral:rRNA from 1 species